rnacentral:tRNA from 1 species
GCCUUCGUGGUGUAGUGGUCAGUACGCUGGCGGCGUAUCCAAGAGGUCCAUGGUUCGAGUCCCGGCGAGGGCA